rfam:Acidianus manzaensis strain YN-25, complete genome.
GCCAGGGUGCCCGAGCGGACUAAGGGGCUGGCCUUGAGAGCCAGUAGGGGAAUCCCUGCGCGGGUCCGAAUCCCGUCCCUGGCG